rnacentral:tRNA from 1 species
GCCAGUGUGGCUCAGUGGUUGAGCAUUGAGCCAUGAACCAAGGGGUCCCAGGUUCAAUUCCUGGUCAGGGCA